AGCGGGUAGAGAGAAGCUUGCUUCUCUUGAGAGCGGCGGACGGGUGAGUAAUGCCUAGGAAUCUGCCUGGUAGUGGGGGAUAACGUUCGGAAACGGACGCUAAUACCGCAUACGUCCUACGGGAGAAAGCAGGGGACCUUCGGGCCUUGCGCUAUCAGAUGAGCCUAGGUCGGAUUAGCUAGUUGGUGAGGUAAUGGCUCACCAAGGCGACGAUCCGUAACUGGUCUGAGAGGAUGAUCAGUCACACUGGAACUGAGACACGGUCCAGACUCCUACGGGAGGCAGCAGUGGGGAAUAUUGGACAAUGGGCGAAAGCCUGAUCCAGCCAUGCCGCGUGUGUGAAGAAGGUCUUCGGAUUGUAAAGCACUUUAAGUUGGGAGGAAGGGUUGUAGAUUAAUACUCUGCAAUUUUGACGUUACCGACAGAAUAAGCACCGGCUAACUCUGUGCCAGCAGCCGCGGUAAUACAGAGGGUGCAAGCGUUAAUCGGAAUUACUGGGCGUAAAGCGCGCGUAGGUGGUUUGUUAAGUUGGAUGUGAAAUCCCCGGGCUCAACCUGGGAACUGCAUUCAAAACUGACUGACUAGAGUAUGGUAGAGGGUGGGUGGAAUUUCCUGUGUAGCGGUGAAAUGCGUAGAUAUAGGAAGGAACACCAGUGGCGAAGGCGACCACCUGGACURAUACUGACACUGAGGUGCGAAAGCGUGGGGAGCAAACAGGAUUAGAUACCCUGGUAGUCCACGCCGUAAACGAUGUCAACUAGCCGUUGGAAGCCUUGAGCUUUUAGUGGCGCAGCUAACGCAUUAAGUUGACCGCCUGGGGAGUACGGCCGCAAGGUUAAAACUCAAAUGAAUUGACGGGGGCCCGCACAAGCGGUGGAGCAUGUGUUUUAAUUCGAAGCAACGCGAAGACCUUACCAGGCCUUGACAUCCAAUGAACUUUCUAGAGAUAGAUUGGUGCCUUCGGAACAUUGAGACAGGUGCUGCAUGGCUGUCGUCAGCYCGUGUCGUGMGAUGUUGGAUAAGUCCCGUWACGAGCSCAACCCUGUCUUAGUACCAGCACGUAAUGCUGGCACUCUAGGAACUGCGKACACCGACGAGUGGAUGACGUCAGUCAUCAUGGCAUACGCUGCUACACGUCUACAUGUCGGUACAG
rnacentral:rRNA from 1 species